AGAAUCAACGCUGGCGGCGUGCCUAACACAUGCAAGUCGCACGAGAAAGGGUAGCAAUACCUGAGUACAGUGGCGCACGGGUGAGUAACACGUGAAUAAUCUACCUCCGAGUGGGGAAUAACUGAGAGAAAUCUUAGCUAAUACCGCAUAACACUUACGAGUCAAAGCAGCAAUGCGCUUGGAGAGGAGUUCGCGGCCGAUUAGUUAGUUGGCGGGGUAAUGGCCCACCAAGACGAUGAUCGGUAUCCGGCCUGAGAGGGCGCACGGACACACUGGAACUGAAACACGGUCCAGACUCCUACGGAGGCAGCAGUGGGGAAUUUUGCGCAAUGGGGGAAACCCUGACGCAGCAACGCCGCGUGGAGGAUGAAGCCCCUUGGGGUGUAAACUCCUUUCGAUCGGGAAGAUAAUGACGGUACCGAUAUAAGAAGCCCCGGCUAACUUCGUGCCAGCAGCCGC
rnacentral:rRNA from 1 species